GGGGGCGACACGGCAUUCGACGUGGGUUGCGAAACCUGAGGUGCAUGCCGAGGUGCGAAUCACCUCGUAAAACAAUUCGCAAACUUAUAGUUGCCAACGACGACAACUACGCACUCGCCGCUUAAUACCCGGUAGGGUGCCGUCAGACUGGGGCCGUGCUUGUGCGCCCAGGUCCUUCGGGACACUCUGGCGUCAUAUCUCACAAGAUCGUGAAACGGCUUGUCCGGGGCCAAUUCACUAAAACCAACCGGAAUCGCCAAACUGUAUGCCCUGUCCGUCGGGCGGCACGCGGCUAAAAAUAAUCGACGCGACUACGCAUGUAGAGCCGAAGGCAGAGGACUUGCGGACGCGGGUUCAACUCCCGCCGCCUCCACCA
rnacentral:tmRNA from 2 species